GACGAACGCUGGCGGCGUGCCUAAUACAUGCAAGUCGAACGCAGUGGGGACGGGUGAGGAACACGUGGGUAACCUCCCAUCAGAAGGGAUAACACUUGGAAACAGGUGCUAAACCGAGACUGAUGGAUGGACGCGCGGGGCAUUAGCUAGUUGGUGGGGUAACGGCUCACCAAGGCCACGAUGCAUAGCCGGCCUGAGAGGGUGAUCAGCCACACUGGAACUGAGACACGGCCCAGACUCCUACGGGAGGCAGCAGUAGGGAAUCUUCGGCAAUGGACGAAAGUCUGACCGAGCAACGCCGCGUGAGUGAAGAAGGUUUUCGGAUCGUAAAGCUCUGUUGUUAGGGAGGCGGUAUCUAACCAGGAAGCAACGGCUAACUACGUGCCAGCAGCCGCGGUAAUUC
rnacentral:rRNA from 1 species